rnacentral:ncRNA from 1 species
GCGUGGGUCGGCCCGCUGAACUGGAUCCAGUGGGCUGGGGGACACCGCCGCCUCAAUCCCCGCGGGCGGCGGACCGGUCCGGGAGGCGGACAGCGCCUCCCGGACUGUG